rnacentral:rRNA from 1 species
CUACCGGCGGCCUCCCCUUCCCUCUUCCUCUUCCUCAACCUCAUCUCCUCUCUGCUGUCCACCCCGACAAGAAUUGAAGAAGUGAAGGCCGCCCUACGCCGUGCAACGGGGAUAUAGCCACCCGCGCACACGGGAAACUGCCGCUCGGCGUCUCCAGCAAUCAAGCAGCCGCUCGGCCGUCAGCGAGCGAUUGAUGUGCCGGCGGGCGGGCGGCAGCGUUGUUGUUGUUGCUUUUGGAUUGCGUCGGUCGCUGACGGGCAGUCUAUCUUGUGGGUUGCAGGAGGGGAGGAGGGGGACGAGGACGGUGCAUGUGCGGAACAUCUCAGAUCUGGCCGGGGAGCGGGAGGUGCGGGAGUUCUUGUCCUUCUCCGGUGAAAUCGAGCACGUCGACAUCAGCCCAUGAGCUGACGCGGUGGCGACUGGGAGGACGGCCUACGCCACCUUCAAGGACGUCAAGGCCCUGGAGAUAACGCUGCUGCUCUCGGUAUGUAUGGCCUCGCGCAAUCAUCCAACUUACUUUCAUUUGUGCAGUGGAGGUGUUUAUGCAAUCUGGUUGUGCUUGUGUUUUCAAUUGCUAUCUAUAAUGAAUGAUUUUCUGUGCUGUCAAUGUCAUUGUUGAACUGUGAAUAGCGUAGUAGGUAUACACAGCUGUUAUGGCUUAUGCAUUGGACCUAAUUUUUUUCUUCGAUAUCAAUGUUGAAGUGUAUUUCGCUAGAAGAUAAUUAGGAAGACACUUUUGUUUGUUAUCUCUGAUAUUUGCACUUGGGGUGGAUGUGGAAAUUCGGCCUCCGUGCGGCGGCGUCUCUUCCUUCCCUGUCAUCGUCGAGGUCCGCCCCUCCGUGCCGCAACGGUAAGCACGCAUGCACGCCGCCGCUCCCCUGCCUCUCUCCCCGUCCCUCUCCGGUGGUUCCCUUCGUCGGCGGCGGCGGGGAAUCAGCCCAGCGGACUGGAGUACCCGUUUGGUGGCGAGCGCCGAUCGAUUGAUUGAUCGAUCAAGCCCCUGAUGUUGUGCUCGCUCCGCUCUGUCUGCUGUCCCUCAUCUAGCGCUUACUAGUUCUGUUCAAGCUCUGUUCGGUGUUAUUUUAUUACUGUAUUGGGAGGGAUAUAGUGCACUGCCACCCAGUAAAUUACGAGGAAACCCAUAUAAAUCAUUUUUCCCAGUCAUAGUUAUUUUUUUACAUAGUGCGUUGAUCCUAGAGUUGCUGAUGCGUAGGCGAAAUUCCUGUGGAUGGCACAAUUAUUUACACUAGCCACAUCUUGCUGGCUAUGGCAUCAGUCUCAUCUCCUGAAGGAUGCAUGAGGCUCUCUCAUGCUGAAGGACAUGAUGCAUGCCAUGUACCGAUGUAUACUGUUGGAAUUAAGUUGUACUUAAUCUAUAUAUGAUCAAGUAGUAUUCCUAAUCCUAUUUAGUUAGGUUCUUGAGCUGCUAUCCGGUAAGAAAAAAGGCAGUGCGCGUUACCAGCCGGCGAAUCGAUCUAGCUGAUUGUGUAGCUAGCUAGCUUCCGAAAGGGUAAGGUAUGUAGUACACGUCCAAGAUGAUAUACGAAAGAAGAUAUGUUUCUGCCAUGUAUCUCCGGGUCGCCUCUGUAUCUUGAGAUUGGAAACAUAAUUUUUUUCCUUAAUGGCAUAGGUGUGUUAUUUUUUUUUUGAACACAGCAUAGGUUUGUUAUAUAUUAUAUGGAUGUUGUACCUGUAUCUUCAGAUCAGAAACAAAACGUUUUCUUUUUCAUAAUGGCAUAGGUGGGUUAUUUAUAUCAACUUUAAUGCCAAAGAGAUAUUGUCAAAAUCUAAUGGGUAUUGUUUUACCGUGUGUUAAAUUGAUGGCCAGCUGUUUCUAAUUAUUGUUUGAUUUUCUAGGAUAAUUCUCUAAUUUGACCCGUAUUUUCUUUUUAGUAUAUAAUAGAAUAGGUUUUGCAAAGCAAUGUUUACUUUCAGUGUAACUGUAGUGCCAUUCUUAUCUUUCAAUGUACAACGACGGUCUUGCUGCACUUGUGGUAGUCAGUGGGGAGAAAGCUAGGAACCUUGGCCUCCAAGUUCUUGCAAGGAUCAGAGGGUAUGCUGAUGUUGCUCAGGCACCUCGGCUAUUUAUAGGAGGGGACCUAGCCUUCUUUGCGUCUCGCGGCAGUGUCUUCCUUGGAUUUGUUCGUGCAACAAGGAGGGGACCCGACCUUCAUCAUGCCUCUUGUAACAAGGGUGAUCGAGGCGGAUUACCAUGCCCUGGUGGGUGUCGUGCUCUUCAACCACUUGGAAGCGGACUUCGCCGUGAAGCCUGACGACUGCUGCACAUAGAUGAUCAUCCAGGUGAUCGUGACGUCGGAGGUCACCGAGGUGGAGGUCCUCGAUGCCACCGUCCAGGGGAAGGUCCACCGGCGUCUGAACUCCAAGCUUUGGUAGAUACAUCUAUAGAAGUGGUCUGUUUAGGUUGGUGGUGGAACUCUAGGGAAGGUACCCACCUUUUGAUGAUGGUUGUGCUCGUCUGAUGUUAAAUGGGAUGUUUGUGAUUUCUUCCAGUUGAGAUGUUGUUCUGUGACAUGAGUUUAUUUUGCACUGGACGUGUUUCUGAUUUCUAU